AGCAAAGGAUACCAGAUUUUUGUUAAAAGAUCUAGAAGAAUGGAGAGCAGUCAAGAUAUAUCGAUCACAAAAUCGAUGUGCGCAUUCAAUAGCACAAUGGGCAUAUUCCAACAAUAAGUUUGGAAAAAUUCCUCUGAUAGAAAUACCGUCAUGUUUAUUAGCUUUUCAUAGUGGGAAGGACCCUCCCUUAGGUAUUAGAAGCAUGAUCCAUGAGAUGGUCUGUAAUAUAAUCUACUAUUGUACUAAUGUUUUUCUCUAAUGAAGUCACUUUAGAAAAAAAAAAAUAAGUCUAGAAAACAACUCUUAUAU